UGUAUGUCAGGGUCAAAAGGUCAAAAUCCGAUUGUGCUUGCAAAAAGAGGAUUGAGACCUUGGGACCCGCAAAACACGAGCAAGUAGCGUUAUUACGCGGAAUGCGAGUGUUUUAGGAUUGCGGGAAUUGCGUAGCAAUGAAGCAAGCCGUGACAUCA
rnacentral:sRNA from 1 species